rnacentral:rRNA from 1 species
GUCCACGCCGUAAACGAUGAGAACUAGACGUUGGGGGCUUUAUGCCCUUAGUGUCGCAGCUAACGCGAUAAGUUCUCCGCCUGGGGAGUACGGCCGCAAGGUUAAAACUCAAAGGAAUUGACGGGGGCCCGCACAAGCGGUGGAGCAUGUGGUUUAAUUCGAUGCAACGCGAAAAACCUUACCUGCCCCUUGACAUCUGGCGAACUUUCCAGAGAUGGAUUGGUGCCUUCGGGAAUGCCAUGACAGGUGCUGCAUGGCUGUCGU